GAUGAACGCUAGCGGCAGGCCUAAUACAUGCAAGCUGAACGGCAAGAUUUGUAGCAAUACGAGUCCUAGAGUAGCGUAAGGGUGCGUAACACGUAUGCAAUCUGCCCGCAACAGGAGGAUAGCUUAGCGAAAGUUGAGAUAAGACUCCAUAAGAUCACGAGAGGGCAUCUGAUUGUGAUUAAACUACAAGGGGUUGCGGAUGAGCAUGCGUCUGAUUAGUUAGUU
rnacentral:rRNA from 1 species